UAGUAUAGCUAGAACGAAGAGAGGAGAAAGAAGAAAGGAGGAGGAUGAGGAGGAGAAGGAGAAGGAAGAGGAGGAGGAGGAAGAGAAGGUGGAGGAGAAAGCAUAGGGUGAGUUCUCCCUUUAUCUUGGCUAGGAACGUAGCAGGAGCGACCACGCAGUGGCGAUAGAAGCGCCCCCACUUAUCCGGCAGUCGUACAAUUUGCAUGAUGAGACAGUAAAGCCGGAUUCGGACGACUCGCCUCGUGAACGGCCUCCUCAUCCUCUUCCUCAUCCUCUGCUUCUUCGUCUGGCGACGCCUCCACCUCCAUCCCAACCACCCACCCUAACCCCCUUUCACCCUCUUCGUUGCAGACAGCAGCGGCAGCAGUAACGGCAACAGUACCACAGCACCGCAGCACCGUCGACUUCCCACGCACCCCCAUCGCAACGACCAUGGUAGCGACCAUCCUUGCAACGCAACCACAGACUCCUACGAUGGUUUUAUGAGAGAUAAAGGAUGGAGUUGGAGCAACUGGACAGAAGUCUAGAAACGCUUACAGAGUAAGGACAAGGGGAUCGGAUCUCUCGAUUUAGUUGCCAGCUAGCUAUCUAGCUAGCUUAGAUGAAACGCUAUGGACAGGGACAGGUAUUGGAAAUUGGGGUCUAGCUUUCCUAUGGGACUGGCAAUCAACCUUCUCUUCCACUCCUCUUCCCGUCCCGACCCACCCAUCAUCCCCCCUGUCGUUCUUAGUUGCUAUACUACUGGCCUGGACCCUUUUUUUCUUCCCUAUUCAAACAUUCAACGGCAGACUUCCUCCGAAAUGUAGACAGACAAAUGACCUGACAAAGAUACCAGUCUAGCUAAGAGUCCAACGAUACUUUGAUAAGUAAUUACACCGACAAGUAGUUGCAUAGCAACGGCAGAAACAGUAACAGCAGCCGGUUGGAUAGAAGUCUCGGUGUGGUAUUGAUCGACUCCAGAAGCGAGGACCACAUGGCGACUCGGCAUUCGUGCGAUCUCGUAUACCUUCGUUCUUCCUCGCUUCUAACAUGGCGGCCAUGGGAGGUCACGUGGCUGCCACCCCCUCACCUAUAGAACUACUACAACCAUGAAGGUGGACCGUCAGUGCGCACUCGACCACCGCAAGGGAUAUAUGAUGCAGCCACGAAUCCGUCUCUCUCUCUCUCUCUCUCUCUCUCUCUCUCUCUCUCUCUCUCUCUCGCUUUCAUACCACACUUUCUAUCUAUUUCACUCACUCACUCAUUCUCUCUCUCUUUCUCUCUUGCUCUUUAGGAACGGCUUAAAUAUUUGCACGGCGCGUUUACAAUGAUAUUGCACGUUGGUUGGCCCAGUACUCGCGCAAUAUUCAUGGAAACGCGGUUUUCAUGAUUAUCGACUGCGAAAGCGAUCGUGAGAGCACCAUUGUGUGCACCUACGGAUGAGCGAGCACGAAGGACACACCCUGAAAUGAAUUUUCUUUCCCUUCUAUCGAGUUUUCCGUAAUACUUACAAAAACCGAAUCAUCUUUAUUUCGGAGCUUGUUCGUGAAAUUUACGAGAACUCCAAGAGUAUCGAAGAUACGCCGAAGAUAGGAGUUUCGUGUCCGAGGAAAAAGCGAAGAAAAGUGUAAAAGAUACUUGGUGCUGAGGGUUGAAGUAGUAGUAAGGGGGUUGGGGGAUAGGGAAUGGGGGAUGGGGAAUGGGGAAUGGGGGAUGGUUGAACGAAGUUGAAAGGUUCGAUUCAAGGACGGAGGGUGAUUUUAAGAGCGAGGCCGAUAGAAACUUGCGACGACCCUACUACUGCUGCUACUGCUGCUGCUGCUGCUGCUGCUGCUGCUUUUUUCCUAUCUCUCUCUCCCUCUUUCUCAUCCUCUCUCUCUCUCUCUCCCUCUUUCUCAUCCUCUCUCUCUCUCUCUCUCUCUCUCUCUCUCUCUCUCUCUCUCUCUCUCUUUCUCUCGUUCUUCAUCUAAAGCACCGACCACCAACCACCGACCACUACCACCACUAUCACCACUACCACCGCCGCCAUCACCACCACAACUAUACUAUACAACCACUGAAGCCAGUAUGUACACACGUACGUACUAUCUAGCCUCUUUGUCCAUUUUCACGUGGCCGUUGGUGUCAUGGUACUGCACUGCGGUGAUCUCCUGACGAUAUAAACGCUUGAACGGUUUGAUUUCAUUCUAUUUUUCAACGUCUACUACAACCGUGAUAUUAGGAAAACUUAGCAUUUUGAAACUGUGAAAAUAAAAACAAUAAUAGAUUUAUUUAAACGUUACAAUCGAUAUUAUUAUAAUUUCAAAGAUCGGAUAAUUUUAGAUUGAAUAGCUUUGUAUACAGUGGAAUCAAUUUGGAAUGGGGAAGUUCAAGCAUGGAUGUUUAGAAACUAAUCGACACUCUAAUCGACGUUUUCAAUACAAAUUUUGAAAUAACAUUACUUUCUAAUUUUAGGAUAAGUUGGAAUAUAUGAAGACAAUAAUGGAAUGUUAUUAGCCAUAUUUGAAUUAUCUUACAAAUUGAAAAAGAGAUGAUAACAAAUCGUUCCAAGCAAUCUAUAUGAAUUAAAAUAUAAUUCAAGGAAAAUUAAACGAACCAAUUAUUAACCGUUUAUCUAUAGAAUAUCGAGUCAAUGUGCUAGAUAAUCCGCUUUUGUGCUUUUUAUUAUACCUAUAUCUACAUAUUAGAUACUUAAGUGAAUAGCAUGUUAUAUAAUCGAAAUCGUGUAAGAACUAAGAGAUAAUGUAAUUAGGGUAAUUCAACAUGAAAUGAUGUCCCGGUAAGUGAGACGACUCGGUAUCAUAUUUUGUUGAUAUAGUUGAAUUUUCAAAUAUUUUUA